rnacentral:lncRNA from 1 species
UCUACGGAUAAGUAUUUCACUCGUAUUAUUAAAGUAAUCACAAAUAAUAUUAUCCAAGACUCAUAUUACCGCACAGGCUUUGGCUAGCACACCCGAUGAAGAGGAACUAUCGAAUCUCAAAGAUCAGUAUUAUGCAAUUGUCGUCGAUAAAAAUGGCGCUAUUAGUCUUGAGGAAAUGAAAGAGAUAUGCAGAUAUGCUGAUUCGUGACACAAAACUGAAGCAGAUAAUUGAAGAAUUUGUUAAGCCACAAGUCACAACAAAGGAAGAGACAUGGUGAUUUUUGUGUGGGGAUUCGGAGGGCGAAGAGGGGUUUCGGAAGGAGGUUUGUCGAGUCGAAUUGUUCCUGGUGGAAUGCUGCGGUUAGCGGGUUUGGGAAUUCCGGGAAGGUGAGUGAUAUGGGUAAAUGAUCAGUGGUUUAGAUGGCAGUGGAUGGAGAUGUUGUUAGGAAUCAGUGGAUCCAUCAACAGUGGAUGAACAACAGAGGUUGUUAAUAACAGUGGAUUAGCAGCAGAGGUGGUUAGCUAACAGUGGAUCAGCAACAGAGGUUGUUAGUUAACAGGGGUUAGCAACAGAGGUUGUUAGUUAGUUGGGCGGUUACAAGGGUAGUUAGU